rnacentral:rRNA from 1 species
ACAUGCAAGUCGAACGCGUUGGCCCAAUUGAUUGAUGGUGCUUGCACCUGAUUGAUUUUGGUCGCCAACGAGUGGCGGACGGGUGAGUAACACGUAGGUAACCUGCCCAGAAGCGGGGGACAACAUUUGGAAACAGAUGCUAAUACCGCAUAACAGCGUUGUUCGCAUGAACAACGCUUAAAAGAUGGCUUCUCGCUAUCACUUCUGGAUGGACCUGCGGUGCAUUAGCUUGUUGGUGGGGUAAUGGCCUACCAAGGCGAUGAUGCAUAGCCGAGUUGAGAGACUGAUCGGCCACAAUGGGACUGAGACACGGCCCAUACUCCUACGGGAGGCAGCAGUAGGGAAUCUUCCACAAUGGGCGCAAGCCUGAUGGAGCAACACCGCGUGAGUGAAGAAGGGUUUCGGCUCGUAAAGCUCUGUUGUUAAAGAAGAACACGUAUGAGAGUAACUGUUCAUACGUUGACGGUAUUUAACCAGAAAGUCACGGCUAACUACGUGCCAGCAGCCGCGGUAAUACGUAGGUGGCAAGCGUUAUCCGGAUUUAUUGGGCGUAAAGAGAGUGCAGGCGGUUUUCUAAGUCUGAUGUGAAAGCCUUCGGCUUAACCGGAGAAGUGCAUCGGAAACUGGAUAACUUGAGUGCAGAAGAGGGUAGUGGAACUCCAUGUGUAGCGGUGGAAUGCGUAGAUAUAUGGAAGAACACCAGUGGCGAAGGCGGCUACCUGGUCUGCAACUGACGCUGAGACUCGAAAGCAUGGGUAGCGAACAGGAUUAGAUACCCUGGUAGUCCAUGCCGUAAACGAUGAGUGCUAGGUGUUGGAGGGUUUCCGCCCUUCAGUGCCGGAGCUAACGCAUUAAGCACUCCGCCUGGGGAGUACGACCGCAAGGUUGAAACUCAAAGGAAUUGACGGGGGCCCGCACAAGCGGUGGAGCAUGUGGUUUAAUUCGAAGCUACGCGAAGAACCUUACCAGGUCUUGACAUCUUGCGCCAACCCUAGAGAUAGGGCGUUUCCUUCGGGAACGCAAUGACAGGUGGUGCAUGGUCGUCGUCAGCUCGUGUCGUGAGAUGUUGGGUUAAGUCCCGCAACGAGCGCAACCCUUGUUACUAGUUGCCAGCAUUAAGUUGGGCACUCUAGUGAGACUGCCGGUGACAAACCGGAGGAAGGUGGGGACGACGUCAGAUCAUCAUGCCCCUUAUGACCUGGGCUACACACGUGCUACAAUGGACGGUACAACGAGUCGCGAACUCGCGAGGGCAAGCAAAUCUCUUAAAACCGUUCUCAGUUCGGACUGCAGGCUGCAACUCGCCUGCACGAAGUCGGAAUCGCUAGUAAUCGCGGAUCAGCAUGCCGCGGUGAAUACGUUCCCGGGCCUUGUACACACCGCCCGUCACACCAUGAGAGUUUGUAACACCCAAAGUCGGUGGGGUAACCUUUUAGGAGCCAGCCGCCU